CAGUAGCCGCGGGAAUACGGAAGGUCCAGGUGUUAUCCGGAUUUAUUGGGUUUAAAGGGAGCGUAGGCCGCAGGUUAAGUGUGUUGUGAAAAGCAGUCGCCCAACGUCUGCCUUGCAGCGCAAACUGUCCUGCUUGAGUGCGCACAACGCAGGCGGAAUUCGUCGUGUAGCGGUGAAAUGCUUAGAUAUGACGAAGAACUCCGAUUGCGAAGGCAGCUUGCGGGAGCGCAACUGACGCUGAAGCUCGAAAGUGCGGGUAUCGAACAGGAUUAGAUACCCCCGUAGUCCCUGUCUCUUAUAA
rnacentral:rRNA from 1 species